rnacentral:rRNA from 1 species
GUGAACGCUGGCGGUAGGCCUAACACCUGCCAGUCGAACGGCAGCACAGUAAGAGCUUGCUCUUACGGGUGGCGAGUGGCGGACGGGUGAGGAAUACAUCGGAAUCUACUUUUUCGUGGGGAUAACGUAGGGAAACUUACGCUAAUACCGCAUACGACCUACGGGUGAAAGCAGGGGAUCUUCGGACCUUGCGCGAUUGAAUGAGCCGAUGUCGGAUUAGCUAGUUGGCGGGGUAAAGGCCCACCAAGGCGACGAUCCGUAGCUGGUCUGAGAGGAUGAUCAGCCACACUGGAACUGAGACACGGUCCAGACUCCUACGGGAGGCAGCAGUGGGGAAUAUUGGACAAUGGGCGUAAGCCUGAUCCAGCCAUACCGCGUGGGUGAAGAAGGCCUUCGGGUUGUAAAGCCCUUUUGUUGGGAAAGAAAAGCAGCAGGUUAAUACCCCGCUGUUCUGACGGUACCCAAAGAAUAAGCACCGGCUAACUUCGUG